rfam:Stegodyphus mimosarum contig44399, whole genome shotgun sequence.
GCCUUCGUGGUGUAGUGGUCAGCACGCUUGGCGCGUAUUCUAAAAGUCUGUGGUUCGAGUCCCGGCGAGGGCA